GCCGGUGUGGCGGAAUUGGUAGACGCAGCGGAUUCAAAAUCCGCCGGGUGCAAGCCCUUGUCGGUUCGAGUCCGACCGCCGGUACCA
rnacentral:tRNA from 3 species